AUUGAACGCUGGCGGCAGGCCUAACACAUGCAAGUCGAGCGGAUGACGGGAGCUUGCUCCUUGAUUCAGCGGCGGACGGGUGAGUAAUGCCUAGGAAUCUGCCUGGUAGUGGGGGACAACGUUUCGAAAGGAACGCUAAUACCGCAUACGUCCUACGGGAGAAAGCAGGGGACCUUCGGGCCUUGCGCUAUCAGAUGAGCCUAGGUCGGAUUAGCGAGUUGGUGGGGUAAUGGCUCACCAAGGCGACGAUCCGUAACUGGUCUGAGAGGAUGAUCAGGAACACUGGAACUGAGACACGGUCCAGACUCCUACGGGAGGCAGCAGUGGGGAAUAUUGGACAAUGGGCGAAAGCCUGAUCCAGCCAUGCCGCGUGUGUGAAGAAGGUCUUCGGAUUGUAAAGCACUUUAAGUUGGGAGGAAGGGUUGUAGAUUAAUACUCUGCAAUUUUGACGUUACCGACAGAAUAAGCACCGGCUAACUCUGUGCCAGCCGCCGCAGUAA
rnacentral:rRNA from 1 species